UAUAUUCAGUGUAGAGGCACGUGAGCGUCAUCAAAGACGACGACCGUUUUGCAGUCAUCCGGCAGGCGCAUAAGUUAUCUAGAACACUGUGGAGCCAUCUAAUCGUUACUUCGGCAUGGUGGCUGUCGCCUAGGGGCUAAGUACACUCGCCAACUGCAGAAAUGAAUUUGCUGUUCGCCGUGGCGACCACCGCACGAACAUGGGUAUUGAGUGGACCGUGCAAACUGCCUUUCAGUUUGUGAACUGCACUGAAGAUCGAAGAAACAUGUGAGCCACCAGCAGUACUUAAUUAGAUUGAAGAGCAGCUGAACAAAUGAAUACACUUUACUGAGAAAAGUGUGGCCCUGUGCAUAAAGAUACAGACUGGCACAUUGCGUCUGGGUCCUUUGUCUGAACUUAAUUGGCCCGGACGAAUUUUUCGUUGGAAGUGCGAAGCUUUAAUAUUCUUUACGACUGACCCUCGGACUCCCUGAGAGGUGAUUUAAUGCGAACCACCCUACCUUGUCUCAGAAUAGCUCUGUAGAGGGAAAUUACUUCUCCAAGGCUUCUUUCUACCCCUCCCCCUCUUAUACACUGAACGACGAUGAUUGUAAGGAAGUAGCAGCGACGAAGGCGAUGUAGCCGCCUUCAUUCGGAUGGCAAUAAAAAAAAAAAUCAGGCCAUGCUUUCAUGGCCUGAUUCGAAUGUAGGAAAAAAAAAAAAAAAGAAAUGCGUCGGCCGGGAAUCGAACCCGGGCCACCCGCGUGGCAGGCGAGUAUUCUACCACUGAACCACCGACGCGAUUGCAAGGCCACUUGUGGGCAUGUCUUUUAGCGCUUACAAUGGCAGGAAAUCGACAGGCAAGCACACACGCUCUGACAACAAUAUUUAUUGCCCCGCGUGCCCAAACACAACGUUUCUUUUCUGAGCGGCAACGUUCGGCCCACUCAGCUCGUUCCGCUUUGUUAACCUGCACGCAGCACACGCAAUGAAUGUGUGACGUACGACUGAACAAAAACAAACGGUUAAUAAUUUGCUCCUUGCGUACGGUUUGUCAGUUUAAAGGUGCGUACGUACUUGGACAGGUGCAGUAAGCACUACUACUCGUACGAAGGACCUUGUUACAUACUUUAUUGGCGCGUUCGCCGCACACGAUAAAGACAUCCAGCGCAACGACGACCUGCAAAUCUACUCACACAGAACAGAACCCCGCAGGUAAGUUACAAAUAUUCUCUGGCGAGUGAAUAGUGCACAUACGGAGACUGUAGCACUGGGACGGGACCCAGAGCCAGCCCCCGAUCCUUCGCCGUGCGGCAAUGACUGAGCGAGCCAGAGCGCCGGUUCCGCUUUAUGUGCACAUAACCCCCGCGGCCGACAUGUGUUCCGGCCACUGCUUCAAGGUAGCAAAUACGGCAGACCUUCUGGACGAGCCACACUUUAUCAGGGAGCGAGCCGGAAUCAGCAAGCUCGCAAAACGUCGUCGCGACUAGCAAAAAAAAAAAUAAAAAAAAAAGAAGAAAAAAGAAAAAGAAACGUCAUUCGGGCAAUUUUCCACAGGAGAACCAGGCUCCUGUAACGUAUGUUUAACGUAAUUAUAACACAGAAAACAAACAAGCAAACAAUGCAGGUGCUUUUGGUCGCAUUAUGACGAGGGCGCGGACUACACGUACUGCGCUGGAGAUGCAAAUUUUGCGUGCGCAUCAGCCGUCUGCCUCCGCGCUCUCAAAUCCCCGAUUUAUUCCGAAGCUCUUCACUUUUCACGGCUUCGUUGAACUGGGAAUUCACUUGGUUCUAGUUCAACUGGUUUAUGGAACAAUUCCCAGUUGGUCACCAUUGCAACUGGUUCCAGUUGGUCCCCAUUGUAACUGGUCCCAGUUGGUUCUCAUUACAACUGGUUCCAGUUCGUCCCCUUAGCCACUUGUCCUAGUUAGUCCCCAGCUGAACAGUUCCAGUUCCUAUUGCAACUGCUAACGAUUGUGCAAGAGGGAUAGUGAUCCAUGGCCACCAGGAACCACCGGUAAACGUUUACAUACAAAUGGGAUUCAAGCUGGCCAUACCUUAUAUACAUCUAUGUGGUUGCCAUCACAUGUCGCAAAGAACCAGCCCGUUCAGUGAACUUUAAGCAGCCGAAGCAGCUUGGUGUUGAAGCUUUAGAUUUAUUGGAAUACUUCCGCUUGUGUUUAGCGACGAAACAUCUUGAGUGCUUCCUUGAAGACAUGGCACACGCUUACACAUUUCAUAGCUCUUGCACAUCACCAUCUCAAAGAAAUAUUUAUAUGCGUUCAGUAAAAAAGCAGUCACUGCUUCAUGCAAGUAAAGCUGCCAAAAAUUUUACUUCUACAUCAUAUCCAUACUGGUGUAUCAGUAGCUCUGAUAGACAUAAUACAGUGUGACCUGAUGUAAAGCCGAAACUGCCCUUGAACAAAAGCUAUUGGCCACAGAGAGAGUAUGCGAUGACAAAUAACUAUUCUUUAGCAGUAACUAGAGCUUUUAGUAUGAGUAGAUCAUGACACAAUUGACCACUGAGAUAGCACUGUUAUACUGUGGGACGAGGACUUACGGAGUCACCAUCUGUUGGAAGCGCCUCCCUUGCAUAGUACGGGGGAUCACGUGGCAUGCUCCUCACAGGUUUCGCUUACGGCGCUCAAUGAUAACACCACGCGGCUGCCCUCCAGGACACUUCUGUAAAUACUCUCAAACGAGGCAAGUUUUUUACUGUCGAAAUAAUAAUCUUGGGCAAACUGAAAAAGAAUUGUUUACAGACGCUAUCUCUUUACCGAAUACGUACACUGAAUGCCACUGAGCAUGGUCGCCGCGAUGAACCCUCCCAAACAGGCUUCUUGCGUGAAAGGUAGGCAAGCGCAGUGAACAAACCAUGUGAAAUAUGCUCUUAUAGUGGGCUGUCUGUAUAACUAAAUGGAGUAUAACAGAACGAGGCCUCAAUGCAGCGAUCACACGGGUUCGCGGUAACCGAGCACGUUUUCGCAUCGUGCCAUGAGCUUUUAGGCAGCAGCAUAUGAGCGUUUGACAGCACACAAGCAACCAGUGUUGCGUGGAAACUAUAAGAGCUGUUCAAAAAUAAUUUCGUCAUAACAACAGACUUCGACACCUACCAGGCCGGCUUGGAUGUCCCGUUGCAAUGAUUGAAUCCUUUUUUUUCUUCUUCUAAAGUCUUGGAUGUUUAAAUACCAUUAUUUAUCAAGUUGUGUCGCACUGCAUGUUUAUCAGUCUUCUCAGCGUGGGAUUUCCCGCUGCUGCUUUUUCGUAAUCCAGUGCAUCAAUUCAUAACACAAACAUGACCAUAUGCCAUGCCUUUCUUUAUGUGCUUCUUGCCGCUCUCUUUCCAUUUCAGUGAACUUGCCAGCAUCUAGCAUCAACAAGUUCAUAGACCAAAACUUCAUGACAUUAGCCGGGCAGCGCGCAGGCGAGCAUCUCACUGCAUGCUUUCUGCUACUCACCAAACAUCGCAGCCCCGAUGCUGUAUUAGAAAUCUUCCUCGCAUCUGUGCCUGCUGCACACUCGAGUUGUAGCCGAUGGCUGUCUGCCGGUUCUAAGUUUCUUGAGCCAAGCUUCCCGCAGCUUCUUGUCUUGCGGCUACGUGUGAAUAAGGCUGAUACCGGGCUCCGUUGCGAACGUCCGGCACUGCGGCACCGAGCAGUAGCCUACCAUGCUGCACGCCUUCAAUGGCAGCCACUACCUAUUAUACUGAUUUCAAAUGUUGUCACGCAGACACCCAAGGUGGGAAAGCUUCACCACUUAAUCAGAACUGCAGUGGAGGUGGGACUUCAAACUUUCGUUUUCAGUUCGCUUCAGCGCUUCCGAAGCAGCCGACGUGGCCGCUGUGUCCACAUGAUCCUUCAUGCCACGUCACACUGACGGUGGCGCCAGCUUUUCCAGUGGUGGAGCUCGCCCCCAAUAUAAAAAACCUCGCAAGAGACAUUUUUCUGAUCAAGUAUUCAGAAGUGUGAGAUCCUAUUUCAUGUGCCCUUGUAUGCGAUCAAACAAAGUUUUGUGCAAAUUUGAAUGCCUACUAAAGAAAAUACAUUUCAUUAUGAGCGCGCCUUGAUCGAAUGUGCCUGUAACAGCAGGUGGAGCUGCAUGUACACAAAAGUGUUCAUUAAUUGUCAUAUUUACAACUGAAGUGAAAAUUUUGCACGGCAAUCUUUUUAAUUCAGAUCAUGUUUUAUCCGAAGCUCAUGCUUCUGAAUUCUGCACCACCAACACUGUCAGCUGGGUUUGUGCUCUGACCUUCUCAAAAAAAUAAAAAUAAAAAAAUUCAGACACACAACGUAUGAGCUGUCUCAUGCUUUGUAGCUCUUGUACAUCACUAUCUAAUCUGUAUGCAAACAGAUAUGGCUGUAUUAUGUUAGAGCUUUUUUACUUUUAUUUUCUUGCCUUGAUAUGGCCUACACACGGAUCAAGUUUGGGAAUACGCACUCGCAGCACAAGCACGCCUUGUAUGCGCUUCUGUUACACAUUAGACAGAGCUGCAGAUGCAAGCUAGUAUAUGCUUCAUACUUCUAUGUGCUAUUCUAAACACAAGUCUUGCUCGACACUGGUUCAUACUGACACAUGUACUCGUUUAUCCUUUUCGCGGGGACUGCACUCACCCGCUAGCUGCUUAAAUUUAUCGCUCAGCGUAAGACGCGCCUGCAUGAUUGGAACUUACUCGAAUGUUAUCGUUGAUUCUAUGUUCUCGCCAAACCUAACCAGAUUGUAUGCGCGACACGAAUUCUGUAGUACUUUCUGGAAGUAAUGCGGGCACCAUCAAUUACGCUGGAACCUUAGGCGAGUGGUGUAAAACAAACGAUGCGUUUGACUCGCAGAUAAUGGGGCUCAAAAACAAGCACCAAACUCGCAAGCAUUGUAUAUGUACAAACAUCGCAUAGUACAACACUUGAGUCAAUGACACUGUGCUGCAGUAUUUACACCUUUGUGAUAAAGAACCACUUAAAAUCGAAACAAAUAAGUGAAAUAUAUCAUUACCUCCAAAUGGCAGAAUCAAGACCAGGGAAAACGGCACACGUCAAUCCAUACACGAUGUGUCCACAAAGCCGCGUAGUCAGUGUUAAAAACAGGUGCCAUCUGUUGGCCUGUAGUCAUGCCGUCUUCCAAAGGUGAAAAUGUCCUACACUAAUACUACUGCAUAAAUGAGGUUACGCAAACAAUGACACUACAUGUUCCUCUUGAAAAAUCUUCACAACAGUGCACGCCUCGCUCCAUGCUACUGUAUUCUAGUACACUCUACCCCAUGCCUAGCUCAACUAGCUUGCUGUCAAUAUGGCUGCCGAACUGUGCUGUCACGUUUCCAUGGUUACACCUCUGCACAUGGUUUCCAUGUGCAGCUCCAGCUGCUCUAUAAGUAUCUUCUUAAACAAGGUGCUUCUGCUACAACGCCAACCCCGUGGGUGGUGGGUGCAAGUGUGCAGAGUCUGAAAUAUUUUCUACACAGACCCUCUUAUGUGAUAGCCUAUAAUCCUGAGUUUGUCAGGAAAUAUUACGGGAUGACACGGGAAAAAUUUGCUGCAUGCCUUGCAUGUCUUGUUGGAGACUGCCACAGCUGCAUGCCUUGCUGGAAACAAGGCUUUCAAAACUGGCUUUUCAGGGAGCCCAUGCCCUCACGAUUCCACUUUGCCAUCACACUCCAUGGUGCACAUAGACAGCUACCUAAUGCAUUCUUGGUACUGCAGUCCAGACACUCCUUGACCACCAAAUCUCGGCUAGAUACGAUGAACUCAGAAUGCCAAUGCGAUAGAGAACUCCACGAAGCACCGUUAUAAACCUUGGACCACUCGAAGUUUGUUUGAACAAGCCAGUGAAAGAUAGAAUUCGGGCGCUCUACACCGAAUGGCUUCUCAGUGGCUGCCACGAAUUCACGCCCGCCAAUAAAAUGAAGCGUUCCUCGCUGCAGGACUUUGCUAAAUGGGUGAAAGAUGCAUGGUGCACGAUCCCGUCUGCCAUGGUCAACGAGGCCUUUAAAAAGUGCGGGAUUUCGAAUGCCAUGGAUGGCAGCGAGGAUGAAAUGCUUUGGUCUGUUGAUAGCGAUAAGAGUUGUCUGAUAGCAACGACGAGUGAUAUCUAUUGCCCCACGCGACUCGUACCAGAGCAGUGAAAAUCUUGGCGGCAAGGUACGCCGCUUCCAUUUGUGUUUUUAUUCAUCGCAACUUUAGUGUAUUGGGAAUAAAUCAGUUUUUUCCAAAUGAGAGAAAAUAGUAUUUCUAUAUGAAAUCACGAGGUGCACGGUAUCAUACUCUUUUCUUUUUUUUGGUCACGGAAAACGGGUGCACGUUACGAUUGAGGGCACGUUAGGAUCGAGUAAAUACGCUAUGAGUACAACUUUCUUUAGUGAGAGUAAUACAGCUAUAGUCGCAAAAGCCAGAGACUGCAUUGAAAUGUAGAAACUGUACUGUGAUAACGCAGCAAGAGUGAUUGGAGGUUAACUAACUGCGACUGGAAUUACACCAGACGAAACAAAUCAAUUUUCUUUGUAUCGUGCAACAAAUUUACUUCACUGUUUGUAAAGGUACCGAACCACAGAGGCGUACUCAAGAAUGGGACGAAUUAAUGUGCUGUGUAGAACACCUUAGUAAUAGUAUCAUGCGGAGCUUUCGUCCAAAGUCGAUGAAGAAAUUAUUAAUGAUGACACGGGCGCCCAGGAAGACCAUGAUUCAGACAAAGAGUCAUGCGAGGAGGUGCAGCCACGACCUCACUGCACCUCACGACAAGUCAUGAAGGCGCUUUUGAUAUUGGAGGACGUUUGCCUGAGCACUUCCGACAGUUUGCGGGGUGUUGGCCACUUGGAAGUUAAGAAAAGUUGUGAUGUCAGCCGGAAUCUGCACGAAAAAGCAGAUGACUAUUGCAAGAUACUUCAGUUAAUAAAGCUAUGCUUCUCCAACUUGAUUUUAAUGUUGUUUUUCCUGUUCGUUAAUUCGGCAUUUGGAUAAUUCAGACAUUUAUCCCGGUCCUGAGAUCCGAAUUAACAAGCUUUUACUGUAUAAAGCAUUUUUUUUUUUUUUUAGAAACUUCAAAUGUCUUGUCUUUAGUUAUUCAGCCAAUAAAUUUUGAGGUCGCAUUUGUGUAUUUUUGCGCAAGUCUUUGUAGUAACAAUGUUCUGUUGAUAAAAAAUAAAUUCCGGUAUAUAGUUGUAAUAGGCACUACUAUUACAUUAGCAACACAGAUGCUCCCAGUUUAUCAGUACUUCAACAAAGUUUUUUUUUUUUUUUUGUAACUUACUAUGCAGGCACAUACCUGCGUGCAAGGGAGAAGGCGCGUGAGGAUGAAGAACGGACCAUGUACCCUCUAUACACACAGAAAUGGGCAGGGGGAAAUGCCGCUGCCCGACUGGCCACCAUGAAACUCCUGAAUGCAAAAAACCCAGCCAAACAUCCGGUUAUGCAUCUCACCUACAAGUAGAAACACCACCAAAGCUGACUCGUCAAAACACAUUGCACCCUCUGGUUCAAACAGAAUCAAGGAAGAGUUCUGAAGGAGCUGGCACAUAUCCGGCAACAAUAUGGACAAAUCAUCGAAAUCCUGAAUGCCAUGGUGCCAAAGACAGCUGACCCUUUCGAGAACUUGGAUUUUCCAUUAAAGACUUGGGAAGAAGCGAGAUGCAUCGAAGGCAAGCUUGCAAGUGACAUGGAGUUGCAACGUGCACUGGCGCUUGGUGACUAUAGGUGGUGCAACCACUGGCUUUUCAUAGACUCUCUGGCUUCAAUGUACACCUACUCUGGGUGGAAGACCAAAAGAUAACUUUUCCGGCCUUCAUCUGUGCAAUGUUGUCAAAGAAGCUGUAAGCGUCAACCAACGUACAUGAGGUGCUACUGAUGAGGAAAUAAAGGCAUUUGUUAUGGUGUGGCUGAAGAACCCCAAUUCACAGUCAUGCAGUCUGAAUGCAGUGGAUGAGAUGGAACGAUAGCUUGGCAACAGUGACGACUGCUAUGAUCAUGUUUUAGGCCAAGCCACGUUUGAGACAAAGCCUCGGAGACCCAUAUCCUGGCAUUCCCAAAACAGCACGGUGCCCAUUAGAAAACUUGCGAGACACUGGCACUAGAUUUCCCUCUUGAUCCUGGCAAAAAUGCUGAAGUCUCUCAAUGCCUGCAAGCACUUGCUUUUUCAGCUCUGCUCCAAGUUCCCACAAUUCCUCGAGUGAACACUAAACAACAACUGCAGCUGACGUGCGGUCAUGUAUUUGAUUAUUUCCUCAAUGUAACCUGUUUUUUGCAGCACCUGUUUCACAGGCUGUUUUUUGCAAUAGAAGUGUUCACCUUAAUUUUGUUAAUUGUUGAUGCUACAAAAAGCCUACAGAAUUUUUCCUUUACUCAUACGAGCUGAAAUGGUGAUCAAGUGGUCAUUCCACUAGGUGCUCGUAUACAGUACUGUUUUUCCAAUAAAUUUUUGUGCACAGUCCUUUUUUUUCUUUAAUAAACAGAAAUGUGGCUGCAGUUAGCAACGACCAGCCUUUGCUUUCGUUCCCAUGAGAUGUACAUUAAAAAAAGGAAAAUGUUGUAUGUUCCAUAUAUAGGUAAAGGAAGAAGAGCCAUAGCAUAACCAAAUACCGUUAGCACCCAUUUUGUGCAUAAUAACUGACACUGAUGUGUUCACCUCACCACACCUUUUCCUUGGCAGGCAUUGUCUUAAAUCCUUAAAAUUUACUGUCUUAUAUAUUGUAUUUUCUGGACAAUUAAUCACAUUCUUUUUCCAAAACUUUCUUCAGUACGUCUUGUACAUAAACUAUGUGUGUAGGCACUACCAAUAUUAGUUUUUCUUUCUUACGCACCAUGCCAGAGAAGCAAUGCAAGCAACAUGCCUACAGUGUGUCUAAAAGUUUCAGAGGCCAACGACGGUGACCAAGUGACGCUGUCAGCCGAAGUGGCUGAACUUUGUGACUGCAUCAUCAGAGGACGCCAGCCUUUGAUGAGUUUGAGUGAAGUUCAAUGAAUGUUGAUUUUCGGC